rnacentral:rRNA from 1 species
AUUGAACGCUGGCGGCAGGCUUAACACAUGCAAGUCGAGCGGAGAUGAGGUGCUUGCACCUUAUCUUAGCGGCGGACGGGUGAGUAAUGCUUAGGAAUCUGCCUAUUAGUGGGGGACCACAUUCCGAAAGGAAUGCUAAUACCGCAUACGUCCUACGGGAGAAAGCAGGGGAUCUUCGGACCUUGCGCUAAUAGAUGAGCCUAAGUCGGAUUAGCUAGUUGGUGGGGUAAAGGCCUACCAAGGCGACGAUCUGUAGCGGGUCUGAGAGGAUGAUCCGCCACACUGGGACUGAGACACGGCCCAGACUCCUACGGGAGGCAGCAGUGGGGAAUAUUGGACAAUGGGGGGAACCCUGAUCCAGCCAUGCCGCGUGUGUGAAGGAGGCCUUAUGGUUGUAAAGCACUUUAAGCGAGGAGGAGGCUACUGAGACUAAUACUCUUGGAUAGUGGACGUUACUCGCAGAAUAAGCACCGGCUAACUCUGUGCCAGCCGCCGCAGUAAAAC